UACAGAGGUCUCAACCGUUGUUCGGAGUUACUGGGCGUAAAGAGUGCGUAGGCGGUUUUCUAAGUUUGGUGUGAAAUCUCCCGGCUUAACUGGGAGGGUGCGCCGAAGACUGGAAGGCUUGAGUAUGGGAGAGGUAAGCGGAAUUCCUGGUGUAGCGGUGAAAUGCGUAGAUAUCAGGAGGAACACCUGCGGUGUAGACGGCUUACUGGACCAUAACUGACGCUGAGGCACGAAAGCGUGGGUAGCAAACAGG
rnacentral:rRNA from 1 species